UACAGAGGUCCCAAGCGUUGUUCGGAUUCAUUGGGCGUAAAGGGUGCGUAGGCGGCGCGGUAAGUCGGGUGUGAAAUCUCGGAGCUUAACUCCGAAACUGCAUUCGAUACUGCCGUGCUUGAGGACUGGAGAGGAGACUGGAAUUCUUGGUGUAGCGGUGAAAUGCGUAGAUAUCAAGAGGAACACCUGCGGCGAAGGCGGGUUGCUGGGCUGACACUGACGCUGAGGCGCGAAAGCGUGGGGAGCGAUCCGG
rnacentral:rRNA from 1 species